GUAAACUUCUCUUCCGCAGCUUCUCUAGCCUCGCCUCAUCCAUCCCCUUCCCCCAAACCCCCCCCAAAGCAGAGCAAAUCUCUUCUUUCCAACAUGGCCGUCGGCAAGAACAAGAGGAUUUCCAAGGGAAAGAAGGGAGGAAAGAAGAAGGCGGCGGAUCCCUACGCAAAGAAGGACUGGUAUGACAUCAAGGCACCAUCUGUUUUUGAAAUUAAGAACGUCGGCAAAACCCUUGUUACCAGGACUCAGGGUACCAAGAUUGCUUCAGAGGGUCUAAAACACAGAGUAUUUGAAGUUAGCCUGGCUGAUCUUCAGAAGGAUGAGGAUCAGGCUUUCAGGAAAAUCCGUUUGAGAGCAGAAGAUGUGCAAGGGAGGAAUGU
rnacentral:misc_RNA from 1 species